AAAUCAAGGUGAUCAAAGGCACAGUGGGGCCUGAAGAUCACGUCAUAUGUGCAUUGUCAGGGGGUGUGGUUUCCACAGUGGCUGCAACCCUUGUUUAUAAGGCAAUUGGAGAUAGGCUUCAUUGUGUUUUCGUUGACAAUGGUUUAUUAAGGUAUAAAGAGAGAGAACGUGUGAUGGAAACUUUUGAAAGGGAUCUGCAUCUGCCUGUUACUUGUGUGGAUGCUUCAGAGCA
rnacentral:misc_RNA from 1 species